CAGACCUCUUCCAGCCCAUGCUACAUGACCCAUGAGAAAGAGCAGAGCUGGGACGCAGGUCCCCGGGACUGGCAUCUUCACGCUGUAUCACACAGCGGCCUUUCAUCGCCUCCUCUGUUCAAGGGAAACCAGCAAACCUGCUCCCUGGACUUUGUGGGACUGAGGCUGCCGCUCUGGGGAAACAUUCCAUCCAGUUCUGGACCCAGGAGGGCUCAUCAAGUAUUCAUCUCACCCCUUUGCAUUUCAAAAGGGAAGGUUUUCAGGCAAGGAAGCCAGAAGGGUAAACAUGUUGCCAUGGAGUUCUGUUUAAAAUAAAAUACAAUGGAAAGAAAAGCAGCAUGAUGAAGUAACCACAUGGACUGCAGGAUACACCUGAUACUAAUUACUGUCAUGCAGAAUGUUCUGGAAGACAUUUGACUCGCCUGAUGUAUACAUUCAAAUCAAGCAAAGUAGGACUGGAAGGCUCCUUAGGGACCAUCUUGUCCAAGUCUUUCCUUUUUCCAGAUGAGGAAGUAGGGGCCCACAGAGAGGGAGGGCCUGGACCUCAGCCUCCCAGCGCGGAGGGAGCAGAGCCGGGAUUCAAACCCGUGGUGCUUUGUAGGAAACCCGUAAUUUCCACGGUCUUUUUCCUUGGGCUGUCAGUAAGGCCCUGAAAUAGGAGAGUGGGGUUUACUGUGAACCUCGAAGGAGCAGGCUCAAGAGCCAGGGGGCCCAGAAUAGGGCAGAGGCUGGCUUCUCACUGGGAGGCUCAACUUCCCGCAGGGGCGCCAGGCCCUGACAGGAGAGACUGGACAUUAGGUGUCUGGAAGUUUCUCCUUCUAGGGGCUCCAGGAGCAUCCCACCUGAGGCCUGGGGCUCCCACCGGAACGUCAACUCAUGCCCUUGUGGGGCUGCAGGGCUGACGCGGGCUGGCACUGUGUCUACGACAGCCUCCCGGGCCCCCGGGUGCGUGGCUGCGGAUGCUCUCUGGCGGCCACCACAGUUCCCACGCGCGGCGGGUGAAUGCGAGCCCCUUGUCAAUGCGUGCCCCUCGCCUCUGCCCCCGAGAGGCUAGCAACCGGGCCUGCCGGCGUCUGAUUGGCCGUGGGGGCCUGACGACAGGGGCUCCUGGUUGCUGAUUGGCCCCGGCCAGCUCUGGCUGUUUCCUAGCUAUUAAUACUGUGGCUAAUAAACGUUCUCCU
rnacentral:lncRNA from 10 species